rfam:Schistosoma curassoni strain Dakar, Senegal genome assembly, scaffold: SCTD_scaffold0004053
AGCCUUCUGUAUCCGUGCUGAGAUUUUGUCACACACCAGACUCCCAAGAUAAGUGAGGCG